CCUACGGGAGGCAGCAGUGAGGAAUAUUGGUCAAUGGUCGGGCGACUGAACCAGCCAAGCCGCGUGAGGGAUGAAGGUACAGAGUAUCGUAAACCUCUUUUGUCAGGGAACAAAGGCGGGGACGUGUCCCCGGAUGAGUGUACCUGAAGAAAAAGCAUCGGCUAACUCCGUGCCAGCAGCCGCGGUAAUACGGAGGAUGCGACCGUUAUCCGGAUUUAUGGGGUUAAAAGGGUGCGCAGGCGGUCUGUUAAGUCAGCGGUCAAAGCCCGGGGCUCAACCCCGGCCCGCCGUUGAAACUGGCAGUCUCGAGUGGGAGAGAAGUAUGCGGAAUGCGCGGUGUAGCGGUGAAAUGCAUAGAGAUCGCGCAGAACUCCGAUUGCGAAGGCAGCAUGCCGGCUCCACACUGACGCUGAGGCACGAAAGCGUGGGUAUCGAACAGGAUUAGAUACCCUGGUAGUC
rnacentral:rRNA from 1 species